rnacentral:rRNA from 1 species
AUCAAAACUUUCAACAACGGAUCUCUUGGUUCUGGCAUCGAUGAAGAACGCAGCGAAAUGCGAUAAGUAAUGUGAAUUGCAGAAUUCAGUGAAUCAUCGAAUCUUUGAACGCACAUUGCGCCCGCCAGUAUUCUGGCGGGCAUGCCUGUCCGAGCGUCAUU